rnacentral:rRNA from 1 species
CGGGCGAGGUUGCUUCGGUAACUGAGCUAGCGGCGGACGGGUGAGUAAUGCUUAGGAAUCUGCCUAUUAGUGGGGGACAACAUUCCGAAAGGAAUGCUAAUACCGCAUACGCCCUACGGGGGAAAGCAGGGGAUCUUCGGACCUUGCGCUAAUAGAUGAGCCUAAGUCAGAUUAGCUAGUUGGUGGGGUAAAGGCCUACCAAGGCGACGAUCUGUAGCGGGUCUGAGAGGAUGAUCCGCCACACUGGGACUGAGACACGGCCCAGACUCCUACGGGAGGCAGCAGUGGGGAAUAUUGGACAAUGGGCGCAAGCCUGAUCCAGCCAUGCCGCGUGUGUGAAGAAGGCCUUUUGGUUGUAAAGCACUUUAAGCGAGGAGGAGGCUACUUGGAUUAAUACUCUAGGAUAGUGGACGUUACUCGCAGAAUAAGCACCGGCUAACUCUGUGCCAGCAGCCGCGGUAAUACAGAGGGUGCGAGCGUUAAUCGGAUUUACUGGGCGUAAAGCGUGCGUAGGCGGCUUUUUAAGUCGGAUGUGAAAUCCCUGAGCUUAACUUAGGAAUUGCAUUCGAUACAGGGAAGCUAGAGUAUGGGAGAGGAUGGUAGAAUUCCAGGUGUAGCGGUGAAAUGCGUAGAGAUCUGGAGGAAUACCGAUGGCGAAGGCAGCCAUCUGGCCUAAUACUGACGCUGAGGUACGAAAGCAUGGGGAGCAAACAGGAUUAGAUACCCUGGGUAGUCCAUGCCGUAAACGAUGUCUA